rnacentral:rRNA from 1 species
UGGGGAAUUUUGGACAAUGGGCGAAAGCCUGAUCCAGCAAUGCCGCGUGUGUGAAGAAGGCCUUCGGGUUGUAAAGCACUUUUGUCCGGAAAGAAAUGGCUCUGGUUAAUACCUGGGGUCGAUGACGGUACCGGAAGAAUAAGGAUCGGCUAACUACGUGCCAGCAGCCGCGGUAAUACGUAGGGUCCAAGCGUUAAUCGGAAUUACUGGGCGUAAAGCGUGCGCAGGCGGUUGUGCAAGACCGAUGUGAAAUCCCUGGGCUUAACUUGGGAAUUGCAUUGGUGACUGCACGGCUAGAGUGUGUCAGAGGGGGGUAGAAUUCCACGUGUAGCAGUGAAAUGCGUAGAGAUGUGGAGGAAUACCGAUGGCGAAGGCAGCCCCCUGGGAUAACACUGACGCUCAUGCACGAAAGCGUGGGGAGCAAACAGG